GACGAACGCUGGCGGCGUGCUUAACACAUGCAAGUCGAACGGAAAGGCCCUGCUUUUGUGGGGUGCUCGAGUGGCGAACGGGUGAGUAACACGUGAGUCACCUGCCCUUGACUUUGGGAUAACUUCAGGAAACUGGGGCUAAUACCGGAUAGGAGCUCCUGCUGCAUGGUGGGGGUUGGAAAGUUUCGGCGGUUGGGGAUGGACUCGCGGCUUAUCAGCUUGUUGGUGGGGUAGUGGCUUACCAAGGCUUUGGCGGGUAGCCGGCCUGAGAGGGUGACCGGCCACAUUGGGACUGAGAUACGGCCCAGACUCCUACGGGAGGCAGCAGUGGGGAAUAUUGCACAAUGGGCGGAAGCCUGAUGCAGCAACGCCGCGUGCGGGAUGACGGCCUUCGGGUUGUAAACCGCUUUCGCCUGUGACGAAGCGUGAGUGACGGUAAUGGGUAAAGAAGCACCGGCUAACUACGUG
rnacentral:rRNA from 1 species